rnacentral:rRNA from 1 species
UACGGAGGGUGCAAACGUUGCUCGGAAUCAUUGGGCGUAAAGCGCACGUAGGCGGUCCGCUAAGUCGGGUGUGAAAUCCCUCGGCUCAACCGAGGAAGGGCAUCCGAAACUGACGGGCUUGAGUACGGAAGAGGGUCUCGGAAUUCCCGGUGUAGAGGUGAAAUUCGUAGAUAUCGGGAGGAACGCCAGUGGCGAAAGCGGCCGACUGGACCUCGCCUGACGCUGAGGCGCGAAAGCUAGGGGAGCAAACGGG